AAUGAACGUUGGCGGCGUGGAUUAGGCAUGCAAGUCGCGCGAUUUCCUUCGGGGAAGAGCGGCGGAAGGGAGAGUAACGCGUAGAUCCCUACCCUCGGGACCGGAAUAGCGACGGGAAACUGUCGGUAAUGCCGGCUAACGUCCCUGGACCAAAGGGUUGAAUCCGCCUGAGGAGGGGUCUGCGUCCUAUUAGCUAGUCGGCGGGGUAACGGCCCACCGAGGCGAAGAUGGGUACCGGGCGUGAGAGCGUGACCCGGCUCACUGGGACUGAGACACUGCCCAGACACCUACGGGUGGCUGCAGUCGAGAAUCUUCGGCAAUGAGCGCAAGCUUGACCGAGCGACGCCGCGUGCGGGAUGAAGGCUUUCGGGUUGUAAACCGCUGUCAGUGGGGAGGAAAUUCUUGGGGGUACUCCCCCUUGAUUGACCGAUCCGCAGAGGAAGGACGGGCUAAGUUCGUGCCAGCCGCCGCGGUAAUAC
rnacentral:rRNA from 1 species